GUGGGUUUUAAUCUCUGGGCAAAUGAGGUGUGCACCCAUAACUCACAGGCAAUGUGAUCACCUGACAUCAUGCAGCUGUAACUCACAGGCGAUGUCAUCACCUGGCAUCCUGCACCUGUAACUCACAGGUGAUGUCAUCGCCUGGCACCCUGCACCUGUAACUCACAGGUGAUAUUAUCACCUGGCAUCCUGCACCUGUAACUCACAGGUGAUGUCAUCACCUGGCAUCCUGCACUUGUAACUCACAGGUGAUGUCAUCGCCUGGCAUCCUGCACCUGUAACUCACAGGUGAUGUCAUCACCUGGCAUUACACACUGGGGAUGAAUACUUGAAACAGUGUACUGCAGUGGAUGGAGGCAGGUUUUCUUUGUAACUGGGGACUCUGGGUUUGCAUUCCAAUCAUUUUGCCGACAGCUAGGUAGCAACAUUUAUAUUUAAAAACAAAACAAAAAA
rnacentral:lncRNA from 1 species